rnacentral:antisense_RNA from 1 species
CUUCAGCGAGCCCAGCCACAGCGGCUCGCCCUCCGCCCGGUCGCGGCCGUAGGUGGCCAGCAGCGCCUGCGCCUC